rnacentral:rRNA from 1 species
AUGUAUCAGGUGACCUCUCAGCGACGUAACCCUCUCAGCGACGCGCCACAUCGGAACCCGGGUGUGGUGGAAAAUGGGCAAGGGCCGGGCCGUCACCCCCCAAGUGGCGCGCUGUAUCUUGAUCCGGAUACGGUGGCAAGUGAGCGAGGAUCGGGUCGUCGCAUCCUUAGUGGCGCGCUACAUCGGCGCCCGGAUGUAGUGGAAAAUGAGCAAGGGUCUUCGCAUUUGACUCGACGAGUGCGAAGGGUAAGGAAGCUAGCCGAGCCUAGGAGGAUUCGCUUAGGUAGCUGGAACGUAGGGUCUCUGACAGGGAAGCUUCUGGAGCUAGUUGAUGCAGCAGUGAGGAGAGGUGUUGAUAUCCUUUGCGUCCAAGAAACCAAAUGGAGAGGACGGAAGGCGAAGGAGGUGGAGGAUGCCGGCUUCAAGCUAUGGUACACGGGGACGGCUGCAAACAGAAAUGGCGUAGGCAUCUUGAUCAACAAGAGCCUCAAGUAUGGAGUGGUAGACGUCAGGAGACGUGGGGACCGGAUUAUCCUGGUCAAGCUGGUAGCUGAGGACUUGGUUCUCAAUGUUAUCAGCGCAUAUGCCCCGCAAGUAGGCCACAAUGAGAACACCAAGAGGGAGUUCUGGGAAGGCUUGGAAGACAUGGUUAGGAGUGUACCGAUUGGUGAGAAGCUCUUCAUAGGAGGAGACCUCAAUGGCCACGUGGGUACAUCUAACACAGGUUUUGAAGGGGCGCAUGGGGGCUUUGGCUAUGGCAUCAGGAAUCAAGAAGGAGAAGAUGUCUUAAGCUUUGCUCUAGCCUACAACAUGAUUGUAGCUAACACCCUCUUUAGAAAGAGAGAAUCACAUCUGGUGACUUUUAGUAGUGGCCAACACUCUAGCCAGAUUGAUUUCAUCCUCUCGAGAAGAGAAGAUAGGCGUGCGUGCCUAGACUGUAAGGUGAUACCUGGGGAGAGUGUUGUACCCCAGCAUAAGCUGGUGGUUGCUGACUUCCGCUUUCGGAUUCGUGUCCAGCGGGAUAAGCGUGCCAAGGUCGCUAGAACGAAGUGGUGGAAGCUCAAGGGGGAGGUAGCUCAGGUGUUCAAGGAGAGGGUAUUUAAGGAGGGCCCUUGGGAGGAAGGAGGGGAUGCGGACAAUGUGUGGAUGAAGAUGGCGACUUGCAUUCGUAAGGUGGCCUCGGAGGAGUUUGGAGUGUCCAAGGGAAGGAGAAGCGAAGAUAAGGAUACCUGGUGGUGGAAUGAUGAUGUCCAGAAGGCGCUUAAAGAGAAGAAAGAUUGCUUCAGACGCCUAUACCUGAAUAGGAGUGCAGACAACAUAGAGAAGUACAAGAUGGUGAAGAAGGCCGCAAAGCGAGCUGUUGGUGAAGCAAGGGGUCGGGCAUAUGAGGACCUCUACCAACGGUUAGGCACGAAGGAAGGUGAAAGGGACAUCUAUAAGAUGGCUAAGAUCCGGGAGAGGAAGACGAGGGAUAUUGGCCAAGUCAAAUGCAUCAAGGACGGAGCAGGCCAACUCUUGGUGAAGGACGAAGAGACUGAGCAUAGAUGGCGAGAGUACUUCGACAAGCUGUUCAAUGGGGAGAAUGAGAGUUCUACCAUUGAACUGAAUGACUCCUUUGAUGAGACCAGCAUGCGUUUUGUGCGGCGCAUCCAGGAGUCUGAGGUGAAGGAGGCUUUAAAAAGGAUGAAAGGAGGCAAGGCGAUGGGCCCUGAUUGUAUCCCCAUUGAGGUGUGGAAAGGUCUCGGGGACAUAGCGAUAGUAUGGCUAACCAAGCUUUUCAACCUCAUUUUUCGGGCAAACAAGAUGCCAGAAGAAUGGAGACGGAGUAUAUUAGUACCAAUCUUCAAGAACAAGGGGGAUGUUCAGAGUUGUACUAAUUACCGUGGAAUUAAGCUGAUGAGCCAUACAAUGAAGCUAUGGGAGAGAGUCAUUGAGCACCGCUUAAGAAGAAUGACAAGCGUGACCAAAAAUCAGUUUGGUUUCAUGCCUGGGAGGUCGACCAUGGAAGCCAUUUUCUUGGUACGACAACUUAUGGAGAGAUAUAGGGAGCAUAAGAAGGACUUGCAUAUGGUGUUCAUUGACUUGGAGAAGGCCUAUGAUAAGAUACCGCGGAAUGUCAUGUGGUGGGCCUUGGAGAAACACAAAGUCCCAGCAAAGUACAUGACCCUCAUCAAGGACAUGUACAAUAAUGUUGUGACAAGUGUUCUAAAAAGUGAUGUCGACAUCGAUGACUUCCCGAUUAAGAUAGGACUGCAUCAGGGGUCAGCUUUGAGCCCUUAUCUUUUUGCAUUGGUGAUGGAUGAGGUCACAAGGGGUAUACAAGGAGAUAUCCCAUGGUGUAUGCUCUUUGCGGAUGAUGUGGUGCUAGUUGACGAUAGUCGGAUGGGGGUAAAUAGGAAGUUAGAGUUAUGGAGACAAACCUUGGAAUCGAAAGGGUUUAGGCUUAGUAGAACUAAAACCGAGUACAUGAUGUGCAGUUUCAGUACUACUGGCUGUGAGGAGGAGGAGGUUAGCCUUGAUGGCCAAGUGAUACCUCGGAAGGACACCUUUCGGUACUUGGGGUCAAUGUUGCAGGAGGAUGGGGGUAUUGAUGAAGAUGUGAACCAUCGAAUCAAAGCCGGAUGGAUGAAGUGGCGCCAAGCUUCUGGCAUUCUCUGUGACAAGAGAGUGCCACAAAAGCUAAAAGGCAAGUUCUACAGGACGGCGGUUCGACCCGCAAUGUUGUAUGGCGCGGAGUGUUGA